CCUGCCGUUUCACUCUUCACCGUGAGACACAGAGGUAACGGAGCCCGAUCGGAGCAGCGCUGAAAUCGGGCUGACAUCUACCCUGGUGUCACUAGGUGCAGCAAAAGGUGCCAAGAUGUCCAAGAGGAAGCCAACUCUGGAUGAGGAAUCUGAGGAGGAGACAACUCCAGAUGAGGAAUCUGAGGAGGAAAACAAGAGUACAGAUGGGGAAUGGAAGAAGACUAGACCAGGAGGAAAACCUGGGAACAGCAAUAGUCGUGGUGGCAAAGGGGAGGAUAAUAGUAUUGCAGAUUGGAAAACAGUUGCCAAAAGAGUCGCCAUUGGAGCUGCCAUUGGAGCCAUAAUUGGAGCAGGAGUGGCACUGGUUGGCACCCAAACGGUCGCUGUUAAGGUGGGGUUAACUGCAGUCAAAAUUCUGCUGAGUUCGCUGUGAAGAUGAUGUCAGAACCUGCCAUUGCCAAGGGUGACCAACCCACGGAGGCAGCAGCUCCAGAUGCAGAACCCAACAGAAGCGCUGAUCCUGAGGAGUUGCCAGGCAGCGUGGCACGUGAUGGGAAGUCCCCACAGACCCCACCCUCGCAAAAGCUUUGGAUUCCCCUGUGCAAUGAGUGCCCUGAAGCCAAUAAAGUUGCUUUGCCUGCAGCAGA